UACAUACUGUGCGAACGUUAUUCGGAUUCACUGGGCUUAAAGGGUGUGUAGGCGGCUUGUUAAGUAGGAUGUGAAAGCCCCUGGCUCAACCAGGGAACUGCAUUCUAAACUGGCGAGCUAGAGUGAGAUAGGGGUGUGUGGAACUGCCAGUGGAGCGGUGAAAUGUGUUGAUAUUGGCAGGAACGCCGGUGGCGAAAGCGACACACUGGGUCUCAACUGACGCUGAGACACGAAAGCCAGGGGAGCAAACGGG
rnacentral:rRNA from 1 species